GCCAGAUAGCUCAGUCGGUAGAGCAGGGGAUUGAAAAUCCCCGUGUCGGCGGUUCGAUUCCGUCUCUGGGCACCA
rnacentral:tRNA from 1 species